rnacentral:rRNA from 1 species
CCUACGGGAGGCAGCAGUAGGGAAUUUUCGUCAAUGGGCGCAAGCCUGAACGAGCGAUGCCGCGUGAGUGAAGAAGGCCUUCGGGUCGUAAAGCUCUGUUGCGGGGGAAAAAAGGCAGCAUCAGGAAAUGUGUGCUGACUGAUGGUGCCCCGCCAGAAAGUCACGGCUAACUACGUGCCCGCAGCCGCGGUAAUACGUAGGUGGCGAGCGUUAUCCGGAAUGGUUGGGCGUAAAGGGUGCGCAGGCGGUCCUGCAAGUCUGGAGUGAAACGCAUGAGCCCAACUCAUGCAUGGCUUUGGAAACUGGAGGACUGGAGAGCAGGAGAGGGCUGUGGAACUCCAUGUGUAGCGGUAAAAUGCGUAGAUAUAUGGAAGAACACCAGUGGCGAAGGCGGCCGCCUGGCCUGUUGCUGACGCUGAGGCACGAAAGCGUGGGGAGCAAAUAGGAUUAGAUACCCUUGUAGUC